rnacentral:snRNA from 1 species
AUUGCUUCUUGGCCCUUGGCUAAGAUCCAGUGCAGUAUCUGUUAUCAGUUUAAUAUCUGAUAGGUCUUCUAUAUUAAAUGGAUUUUUGGAGUAGGGAGAUGGAAUAGGGGCUUGCUUAGUCUACUCCAUGCAUCGACCUGGUAUCUCAGUACCUCCAAGAAGAGUGAACCCACU